AUCCUAACUCUGAGUCCUUAUU
rnacentral:miRNA from 12 species